UCCCUUCCUGAAGGGGAAGGGAAGCUUAAUGCAGCCGUGGACGGUUCCAAGCCCGUGUAAAUGCAGAGGAGGCU
rnacentral:ribozyme from 1 species